CCUACGGGGGGCAGCAGUGGGGAAUAUUGCACAAUGGGGGAAACCCUGAUGCAGCAACGCCGCGUGAGCGAAGAAGGCCUCCGGGUCGUAAAGCUCUGUCCUAAGGGAAGAAGCAUGACGGUACCUUAGGAGGAAGCCCCGGCUAACUACGUGCCGGCAGCCGCGGUAAUACGCUGGGGGCGAGCGUUAUCCGGAAUCACUGGGUGUAAAGGGUGCGUAGGCGGUAGGGCAAGUCAGAUGGGAAAGCCCGGGGCUCAACCCCGGGACUGCAUUUGAAACUGUCUUACUAGAGUGCAGGAGAGGAAAGCGGAAUUCCUAGUGUAGCGGUGAAAUGCGUAGAUAUUAGGAAGAACACCAGUGGCGAAGGCGGCUUUCUGGACUGUAACUGACGCUGAGGCACGAAAGCGUGGGGAGCGAACAGGAUUAGAUACCCCUGUAGUC
rnacentral:rRNA from 1 species